AACGUUGUUGCGACAGCAUUCCUGCGUAGUACGAGAGGAACCGCAGGUACGGACCAAUAACACAAUACUUGUUCGAGCGAACAGUGGUAUGACGCUACGUCCGUUGGAUUAUGCCUGAACGCCUCUAAGAUCGUAUCCGUGCUGGACUGCAAUGAUAAAUAAGGGGCAAUUUGCAUUGUAUGGCUUCUAAACCAUUAAAAGUUUUUAAUUUGUUUUAUUAACGACAAUGGAUGUGAUGCCAAUGUUAUUUAUAACAUAGUAAAUUGGGAGGAUCUUCGAUCACCUGAUGCCGCGCUAGUUAUAUUUU
rnacentral:ncRNA from 1 species